UAAAAAAAAACAAACAAACAAAAACAAAACAAAACAAAGAAAACAAAAUCACCCCUUUUGUUCAAUUUUUUUGUGGUGUAUUACUUUU
rnacentral:ribozyme from 1 species